GUCGAACGAGAACGCGUCCUUCGGGGCGUUAUUAAAGUGGCGAACUGGUUAGUAACAGGUGGAUAACAUACCCUUUGGCGGGGGACAGCCUCUGGAAACAGGGAUUAAUACCGCAUAAAGCCGUGAAACCGUUGGGUUUUACGGACAAAGUCUUCGGACACCGAAGGAUUGGUCCGCCCCUGAUUAGCUUGUUGGUGUGGUAAAAGCGCACCAAGGCUACGAUCAGUAGCUGGUCUGAGAGGAUGGUCAGCAACACUGGGACUGAGAUACGGCCCAGACUCCUACGGGAGGCAGCAGUCUAGAAGCUUCCACAAUGGACGAAAGUCUGAUGGAGCGACACCGCGUGCGGGAUGACACUCGUGAGAGCGUAAACCGCUGUCAGCAGGGAAGAAUGCCCGGAUGGUGAAUCCGGGAGUGACGGUACCUGCAGAGGAAGCACCGGCUAACUAUGUGCCAGCAGCCGCGGUAAUACAUAGGGUGCAAACGUUGCUCGGAAUUACUGGGCGUAAAGAGUGCGUAGGCGGUUUGAUCAGUCCGGCGUGAAAUCCCAUGGCUCAACCAUGGAACUGCGCUGGAAACUGUCAGACUUGAGAGCGAGAGAGGCAAGUGGAAUUCCUGGUGUAGCGGUGGAAUGCGUAGAUAUCUGGAGGAACAUCAGUGGCGAAGGCGACUUACUGGACUAAUACUGACACUGAGGUGCGAAAGCGUGGGGAGCAAACGGGAUUAGAUACCCCGGUAGUCCACGCCGUAAACGAUGUCAACUAGUUGUUGGGCCUAUUAAAAGGUUUAGUGACGAAGCUAACGCGAUAAGUUGACCGCCUGGGGAGUACGGCCGCAAGGCUAAAACUCAAAUGAAUUGACGGGGGCCCGCACAAGCGGUGGAGCAUGUGGUUUAAUUCGAUGCAACGCGAAGAACCUUACCUACUCUUGACAUCCCGUGAACUUUCCAGAGAUGGAUUGGUGCCUUCGGGAACGCAGUGACAGGUGCUGCAUGGCUGUCGUCAGCUCGUGUCGUGAGAUGUUGGGUUAAGUCCCGUAACGAGCGCAACCCUUGUCCUUAGUUGCCAGCACGUAAUGGUGGGAACUCUAAGGAGACUGCCGGUGACAAACCGGAGGAAGGUGGGGACGACGUCAAGUCAUCAUGGCCCUUACGACCUGGGCUACACACGUGCUACAAUGGUCGGUACAGAGGGUUGCCAAGCCGCGAGGUGGAGCUAAUCCCAGAAAACCGAUCGUAGUCCGGAUUGGAGUCUGCAACUCGACUCCAUGAAGUCGGAAUCGCUAGUAAUCGCGAAUCAGAAUGUCGCGGUGAAUACGUUCCCGGGCCUUGUACACACCGCCCGUCACACCAUGGGAGUGGGUUGCAAAAGAAGUGGGUAGACUAACCUUCGGGAGGUCGCUCACCACUU
rnacentral:rRNA from 1 species